UCCCUAGUGGCUCAGCUGGUAAAGAAUCCGCCUGCAAUGCGGGAGACCUGGGUUCGAUCCCUGGGUUGGGAA
rnacentral:tRNA from 1 species